rnacentral:rRNA from 1 species
CCUACGGGAGGCAGCAGUGAGGAAUCUUGGUCAAUGUGCGCGAGCCUGAACCAGCCAAGUAGCGUGAAGGAUGACUGCCCUACGGGUUGUAAACUUCUUUUAUAAAGGAAUAAAGUGAGGCACGUGUGCCUUUUUGUAUGUACUUUAUGAAUAAGGAUCGGCUAACUCCGUGCCAGCAGCCGCGGUAAUACGGAGGAUCCGAGCGUUAUCCGGAUUUAUUGGGUUUAAAGGGCGCGUAGAUGGGUUGUUAAGUCAGUUGUGAAAGUUUGCGGCUCAACCGUAAAAUUGCAAUUGAUACUGGCAGCCUAGAGUACAGUUGAGGUAGGCGGAAUUCGUGGUGUAGCGGUGAAAUGCUUAGAUAUCACGAAGAACUCCGAUUGCGAAGGCAGCUUACUAAACUGCCACUGACAUUGAUGCUCGAAAGUGUGGGGAUCAAACAGGAUUAGAUACCCGAGUAGUC